UAGGGAAUCUUCGGCAAUGGUGGGAACCCUGACCGAGCAACGCCGCGUGAGUGAAGAAGGUUUUCGGAUCGUAAAGCUCUGUUGUUAAGGAAGAACGAGUGUGAGAAUGGAAAGUUCAUACUGUGACGGUACUUAACCAGAAAGGGACGGCUAACUACGUGCCAGCAGCCGCGGUAAUACGUAGGUCCCGAGCGUUGUCCGGAUUUAUUGGGCGUAAAGCGAGCGCAGGCGGUUAGAUAAGUCUGAAGUUAAAGGCAGUGGCUCAACCAUUGUAGGCUUUGGAAACUGUUUAACUUGAGUGCAGAAGGGGAGAGUGGAAUUCCAUGUGUAGCGGUGAAAUGCGUAGAUAUAUGGAGGAACACCGGUGGCGAAAGCGGCUCUCUGGUCUGUAACUGACGCUGAGGCUCGAAAGCGUGGGGAGCGAACAGG
rnacentral:rRNA from 1 species